ACACAGGUAUUCUGAAACACCUACAAAUCACUGGUUAUUGCAAAUGCUUAUUGACUAAAUUAUCCUUCGCCUAUUAAGUAUCAACUUGAUCCUAAAAAUGUAAGGCAGGGCUGUCUGAAUCAAGCUGUAUUUUUAAGAGUUUGUAUACAAAGAAACUUUUGUCUUGGUUUCUUAAUUAUAGACCACAAAACCAUGACUGCAUUUGUGACAUGAAGGGAAACAAGCUAAAACUUCAAGCACUAAAAAGAUUAUAUGGAUCUGUGUCAAUUUGAUGAAACACUGAUUCAUUAGAAACUAGUUGAAUGCUUUCUCAUUUGAGGUAGUGCUAGCUCCCAUAAUGACAAAGUAGAUUGAAUAUAAGUAGAUACAUAUCAACCAGCACAUCAAAUACAGUUUUCUUUCUUCAGAAUUAAUAGUUCAAACACUAUUUUUAAGGAAUGGUGCUGGAUUCUUGCAUUCCUGACUGUCUGACAGCGGCUCGCAUCAGAGACUUCAGAGGAAAGUUUAAAAUAUGCCAUAAAUUGUAAUGUUGGUAAUUACACCUUUGGGAAGACUCUAAUAUCAAGCAUGAGGUUUUAUCUCUCAAAAAUGCUUAUCCUAACUAGUAUAAAUUGCACAUCUUUACUAAUCCUAGUCACAUAACUGUCUAAUCCUAAAUUGAAUCCUGCUGCGGAUAGCAAAGAGUCCUGUGGCACCUUAUAGACUAACAGACGUAUUGGAGCAUGAGCUUUCGUGGGUGAAUACCCACUUCGUCGGAUGCAUGUCAUGUUGUGAAUGGUACUCUUUCCUUUUUGAAGGUUGAUUAUAAGGGCAUUGUAAUGGAAUUUUAGUGUUCAUGUGUAUAGCUGCUAUAAGAUAAUUUUAAUUCUUACAGGAAAAGCUUGUCAUUUGGCUAAUCAAUGAGAUCAUUACUGAAUUACAUUGCAUACUGACUUUUGAAAAAAAUAUUGAAAAAAUUCUAGAUGGUUCUCAUGUAAUUAUUGAAUAAGACAUUCUCCUCUUCCUUUUUAGAGUUAAAAAUUAAAGAUGAUUGAUUUUUGGUAAAUUUGGCCUGCUUUCUUUUUAUGAGGCACAAAAGACUUUAACAGUCUCGUAGAGGCUGUUUUUAUGCCUUGCUAGGCUGGAUGGAGUGGUUCUUAGAGGGUUCUGCUGCUUACUCAAAGAUUCCAGGAGACGCUGAUGAGAGUAGACCUUCUACUCUCCAACUAAUUCGAAGCCUUUGAGGAGGACCACGGGGGAGUCCCGACAACUGCUGGAUUUUGUCGCAGACGUGGAGACCCUUUGGGAUGAUGGACACCAGGAAAGCAGGACCCCCCACAGGUGCAGUGAACACAAUAUACGGAUGCAAGGCCCAGGACCUUCUACUCUCCGCCUGAUUGGGAGCCUUCGAGGAGGACCACUGACAACUGAUGGUCUUUGUCACAGGCGGGAGACCUUCUGGGAUGCUGAUCACCAGGAAAACAGCAGGACCCUUCACAGGAUGACCUCCUGUUGUUCUUCCCUUUCUGUGGACUUCCCAUUGCCCUGCUGAUUUGUACGUAAAUGGAGCUUCCGCUGUUUUUGGUCACACCUUGCUUAAUUUCAUUGGAGACAGGAAGACAGCUGCCUUCCAUUCUGUCUAAGAAAAGACUGGAAGAUAAUGAGCGUUCAAACUUUUUCAACUCCUAACUGGGCUCUCAACUUUAAAUGAAUUAGUCCAAAUGAAGAAAAUAUUCUCUCUGCAUCUGCAGAGAGGUGACUGCCAUCAAAAGUUGGUUUAACACUUCAAUAAACUCUUGUUCCAAUUGCUUAGCCACCAACUUUCACCAAUUUAUUGGCUAGACUUCCUUUAAACAUCAGCAAAAACCAUGUACAGCUUGAAUAGUUUGCUUUCAGCCCUGAAAUUGAUUAUGGUUGGUGUGAUUGAUUGGCUGAUUACUAGGUGCCAUAAUGGACUUGCAUCCCCUUUUUCUACUGGCCUCUAGUGCUGUCAUGAAAUAGAUUCUUCUUCUUAAUCCCUUCUCUCUGGGGCUACCAAUAAAUUCAAGACAGGCUUCAUGUGAGAGAACACCCCUUUAUUCAACAAAUAACCUACCAAGCAAGAAACGAAAUCUUAUCAAUAAAGGGAAGAACUAUAAAAUCCUUCCUGGCCAGAGG